rnacentral:rRNA from 1 species
AGCGUAUAUUAAAGUUGUUGCAGUUAAAAAGCUCGUAGUUGAAUUUCGGGGUCAGUAGGUCGGUCGUGCCACUGGUAUGAACUGGUUUUACUGAUUCCUCCCUCUUGAAGAACUGUAAUGCCAUUAAUUUGGUGUUGCAGGGAAUCAGGACUGUUACUUUGAAAAAAUUAGAGUGUUUAAAGCAGGCUUUAGCUUGAAUACAUUAGCAUGGAAUAAUGAAAUAGGACGUUUGAUCCUAUUUUGUUGGUUUCUAGGAUUGACGUAAUGAUUAAUAGGGAUAGUUGGGGGCAUUAGUAUUCAAUUGUCAGAGGUGAAAUUCUUGGAUUUAUUGAAGACUAACUACUGCGAAAGCAUUUGCCAAGGAUGUUUUCAUUAAUCAAGAACGAAAGUUAGGGGAUCGAAGACGAUCAGAUACCGUCGUAGUCUUAACCAUAAACUAUGCCGACUAGGGAUCGGAUGAUGUUAAUUUUUUAAUGACUCAUUC